rnacentral:rRNA from 1 species
UACGGAGGGGGCUAGCGUUGUUCGGAAUUACUGGGCGUAAAGCGCGCGUAGGCGGAUCUGCAAGUCGGGGGUGAAAUCCCGAGGCUCAACCUCGGAACUGCCUUCGAUACUGCGGGUCUCGAGUCCGGGAGAGGUGAGUGGAAUUCCUAGUGUAGAGGUGAAAUUCGUAGAUAUUAGGAAGAACACCAGUGGCGUAGGCGGCUCACUGGCCCGGUACUGACGCUGAGGCGCGAAAGCGUGGGGAGCAAACAGG